AGUGAACGCUGGCGGUAGGCCUAACACAUGCAAGUCGAACGGCAGCACAGUAAGAGCUUGCUCUUACGGGUGGCGAGUGGCGGACGGGUGAGGAAUACAUCGGAAUCUACUUUUUCGUGGGGGACAACGUAGGGAAACUUACGCUAAUACCACAUACGACCUACGGGUGAAAGCAGGGGAUCUUCUGACCUUGCGCGAUUGAAUGAGCCGAUGUCGGAUUAGCUAGUUGGCGGGGUAAAGGCCCACCAAGGCGACGAUCCGUAGCUGGUCUGAGAGGAUGAUCACCCACACUGGAACUGAGACACGGUCCAGACUCCUACGGGAGGCAGCAGUGGGGAAUAUUGGAAAAUGGGCGCAAGCCUGAUCCAGCCAUACCGCGUGGGUGAAGAAGGCCUUCGGGUUGUAAAGCCCUUUUGUUGGGAAAGAAAAGCAGCAGGUUAAUACCCCGCUGUUCUGACGGUACCCAAAGAAUAAGCACCGGCUAACUUCGU
rnacentral:rRNA from 1 species